UUGUGUGAUUUAAUAAUCAUCCUACCCUUUGUGAAUUUGUUGUAAAGUAAAAUUUUAUUUGUCUACCCUGAAUUGAAGAAGCUAGUUUUAGUUUUUCUUUAAUCAGGGGUAUGCAACAAUUAUCAUUUAAAGACCUUUUUUUAAAUUAAACUUUUGUAUUCAUUUGUCUAAAUUAUUUUUAUAAUAUAAAACAACUUUGACAAUGGAUCUCUUGGUUCUCGCAACGAUGAAGAACGCAGCAAAAUGCGAUAAGUAGUGUGAAUUGCAGAAUACGUGAAUCAUCGAAUCUUCGAACGCAUAUUGCACUUUUUUGGUUACCAAAAAGUAUGUCUGUUUGAGUAUCAGUAAAAUAUUCUCAUAAAAACUAUUGUUUUUAUGGUUAUGAGUGUUUUACAACGAUAAACAAGUUGUUUCACUUUAAAUUCUUUGUCUUUUAAAAAAUCAUUAAAAGCUGAUUUUUUUUUAAAUUGGAUAAAAUUUUCCCGUAAAAAGGAAUAACCUAAACAAUUUUAAUUAAAAUUGGUUUGAUUUCUUUUAAGACUUUAAAGGAAAAAAAAGUAAAAAUUAACUUGAUCUCAAAUCAGAUAAGAGUACCCGCUGAACUUAAGCAUAUCAAUAAGCGGAGGAAAAGAAACUAACUAGGAAUCCCUCAGUAACGGCGAGUGAAGCGGGAAGAGCUCAAUUUGAAAUCUUCAAGGUUCUACCUGACGAAUUGUAGUUUAAAGAAGUGUUUUCUGUUGGAGUUUGGUAAAAGUUCUUUGGAAUAGGACAUCAUAGAGGGUGAGAAUCCCGUAUUUGACCGUUAUUUCAGCUUUGUGAUACACUGUUCAAAGAGUCGGAUUGUUUGGGAAUGCAGUCCAAAAUGGGUGGUAAAUUUCAUCUAAAGCUAAAUAUUGGCGAUGGAGACCGAUAGCGAACAAGUACCGUGAGGGAAAGAUGAAAAGAACUUUGAAAAGAGAGUUAAACAGUACGUGAAAUUGUCAAAAGGGAAGCGUUUGACACCAGUGUUGUUUCUCGAAAAUCAAUUAAAAAUGAUGGGAUUUUGUGUUGUAUUGACUUUAAAAGCUUUCUUCACUUUCUUCCUAUCUUUUUAAUGCACUUUUCGUUUAACAAGUCAACAUCAAUUUCUUUUGUUGUAAAAGAGUCAUUGGAAGGUGGCUUUCUUUUCGGAGAAGUGUUUAUAGCCUUUGGCUUCUGCAAUCGGAGAGAUUGAGGUCUGCAGCGUAGAUCCUUCGGGUUAGAUACAUUUGUGCUAAGUUAUAGCCUUUCAUAGACAACUUGUUGACUAUGAUCAGUCAUGUAGCUUACUCGCUUAUGCUAUUUUACCUACGCUUAGGAUGUUGAG
rnacentral:misc_RNA from 1 species